rnacentral:rRNA from 1 species
CCUACGGGAGGCAGCAGUGGGGAAUAUUGGGCAAUGGAGGAAACUCUGACCCAGCGACGCCGCGUGCGGGAUGAAGGCCUUCGGGUUGUAAACCGCUUUCAGCAGGGAAGAAGCGAAAGUGACGGUACCUGCAGAAGAAGCACCGGCUAACUAUGUGCCAGCAGCCGCGGUAAUACAUAGGGUGCAAGCGUUGUCCGGAAUUAUUGGGCGUAAAGAGCUCGUAGGUGGUUCGUCACGUCGGAUGUGAAAAUCUGGGGCUUAACCCCAGACCUGCAUUCGAUACGGGCGAGCUUGAGUAUGGUAGGGGAGUCUGGAAUUCCUGGUGUAGCGGUGGAAUGCGCAGAUAUCAGGAGGAACACCAAUGGCGAAGGCAGGACUCUGGGCCAUUACUGACACUGAGGAGCGAAAGCGCGGGGAGCGAACAGGAUUAGAUACCCUGGUAGUCCACGCCGUAAACGGUGGGCACUAGUUGUGGGGACCUUCCACGGUCUCUGCGACGCNGCACGCAUAGUGCCCGCCGUCGGGAGUACGANCGCAGAUAAACUACAAUAGAGUAGACGGCGUGAGACGUGCCGACGGACGACGACGACGGGAGGUUAGG